rnacentral:rRNA from 1 species
AGAGUUUGAUCAUGGCUCAGAUUGAACGCUGGCGGCGUGCCUAACACAUGCAAGUCGAGCGGCAGCGCGGUAGCAAUACUGGCGGCGAGCGGCGAACGGGUGAGUAAUGCUUCGGAAUCUUCCCAUGUAGUGGGGAAUAACCAGCCGAAAGGUUGGCUAAUACCGCAUACGUCCUACGGGAGAAAGCAGGGGAUCGCAAGACCUUGCGCUAUUGGAUGAGCCGAAGUCGGAUUAGCUAGUUGGUAGGGUAACGGCCUACCAAGGCGACAAUCCGUAGCUGGUCUGAGAGGACGACCAGCCACACUGGGACUGAGACACGGCCCAGACUCCUACGGGAGGCAGCAGUGGGGAAUAUUGGACAAUGGGGGAAACCCUGAUCCAGCGACGCCGCGUGUGUGAAGAAGGCCUGCGGGUUGUAAAGCACUUUUAGUGGGGAUGAAAAGCCUAGGGUUAAUACCUCUGGGUCUUGACCUAACCCACAGAAAAAGCACCGGCUAACUCUGUGCCAGCAGCCGCGGUAAUAC